CCUACGGGUGGCAGCAGUGGGGGAUAUUGGACAAUGGGGGGAACCCUGAUCCAGCGACGCCGCGUGAGUGAAGAAGUAUCUCGGUAUGUAAAGCUCUAUCAGCAGGGAAGAAGAAAUGACGGUACCUGAGUAAGAAGCCCCGGCUAACUACGUGCCAGCAGCCGCGGUAAUACGUAGGGGGCAAGCGUUAUCCGGAAUUACUGGGUGUAAAGGGAGCGUAGACGGUGAUGUAAGUCUGGAGUGAAAGGCGGGGGCCCAACCCCGGAACUGCUCUGGAAACUGUGCGGCUAGAGUACUGGAGGGGCAGGCGGAAUUCCUAGUGUAGCGGUGAAAUGCGUAGAUAUUAGGAGGAACACCAGUGGCGAAGGCGGCCUGCUGGACAGUAACUGACGUUGAGGCACGAAAGCGUGGGUAUCGAACAGGAUUAGAUACCCUAGUAGUC
rnacentral:rRNA from 1 species